AGGACGAACGCUGGCGGCGUGCUUAACACAUGCAAGUCGAGCGGUAAGGCCUUUCGGGGUACACGAGCGGCGAACGGGUGAGUAACACGUGGGUGAUCUGCCCUGCACUUCGGGAUAAGCCUGGGAAACUGGGUCUAAUACCGGAUAUGACCUCCUAUCGCAUGGUGGGUGGUGGAAAGAUUUAUCGGUGCAGGAUGGGCCCGCGGCCUAUCAGCUUGUUGGUGGGGUAAUGGCCUACCAAGGCGACGACGGGUAGCCGACCUGAGAGGGUGACGGCCACACUGGACUGAGACACGGCCCAGACUCCUACGGGAGGCAGCAGUGGGGAAUAUUGCACAAUGGGCGAAAGCCGUGAUGCAGCGACGCCGCGUGAGGGAUGACGGCCGUUCGGGUUGUAAACCUCUUCGAGCAGGACGAAGCGACAAGUGACGUACCUGACAGAAGAACGACGAACCGGCUAACUACGGUACGACCGACGACGACGCCGACGGUAACUACCGUGUAACGGCGGUCCGU
rnacentral:rRNA from 1 species